rnacentral:rRNA from 1 species
AUUGAACGCUAGCGGCAUGCUUUACACAUGCAAGUCGAACGGAGUGGCGGACGGGUGAGUAAUAUAUCGGAACGUGCCCAGUAGCGGGGGAUAACUACUCGAAAGAGUGGCUAAUACCGCAUACUCUUAGGACGCCCGAUAUCGGAUUAGCUAGUUGGGGGGGGAACGGCUCACAAAGGCAACGAUCCGUAGCUGGUGUGAGAGGACGACCAGCCAAACUGGGACUGAGAAACGGCCCAGACUCCUACGGGAGGCAGCAGUGGGGAAUAUUGGACAAUGGGGGAAAGCCUGAUGCAGCCAUCCCGCGUGUAUGAUGAAGGCCUUAGGGUUGUAAAGUACUUUUGGCAGGGAAGCGUUAUCGGCAGAAUAAGCACCGGCUAACUACGUGCCAGCAGCCGCGGUAAUAC